rnacentral:tRNA from 1 species
GGACUUUUAGCUCAGUCGGUAGAGCAAGCGGCUCAUAACCGCUCGGUCGUAGGUUCGAGUCCUACAAAGUCCA